rnacentral:tRNA from 1 species
CUCGAUAUAGCUCAGUUUGCGUAGAGCGCUGCGUUUGGGACGCAGAGGUCGUAGGUUCAAGUCCUGCUAUCGAGA